CACCCUCGAGGCGGUCCGGGAGGUGCUGCAGGACGUCUACGACGUGCCCGGCCUGGUCGAGCUCAUGAGCGACGUCCGGUCCCGUCGGGUGCGGGUGGCC
rnacentral:tRNA from 1 species